rnacentral:rRNA from 1 species
AUGCCAAUCACGUAUGUCCGGGAGUCAGACAGUGAGUGAUAAGAUCCAUUGUCGAAAGGGGAACAGCCCAGAUCGUCAGUUAAGGUCCCUAAGUGUGUGUUAAGUGGAAAAGGAUGUGGAGUUGCAUAGACAACUAGGAUGUUGGCUCAGAAGCAGCCACCAUUUAAAGAGUGCGUAAUAGCUCACUAGUCGAGUGAUUCUGCGCCGAAAAUGUACCGGGGCUAAACACACCACCGAAACUACGGGUGCCACGUAAGUGGCGCGAUAGGAGAGCGUUCUAAGGGCGAUGAAGUCAGACCGUGAGGACUGGUGGAGCGCUUAGAAGUGAGAAUGCCGGUAUGAGUAGCGAAAGACAGGUGAGAAUCCUGUCCACCGUAUGACUAAGGUUUCCUGGGGAAGGCUCGUCCUCCCAGGGUUAGUCGGGACCUAAGGCGAGGCCGAAAGGCGUAGUCGAUGGAUAACAGGUUGAGAUUCCUGUACCAGGUGAACAUGUUUGAACGAUGGAGGGACGCAGAAGGCUAACGGAUCCCAGCUGCUGGAUAUGCUGGGUUAAAUAAUAAGUCUUAGAUCGAGUUAAAUGCUUUAUCUUUUAAGGACAAGUUAUGAUGAGGACCGAAAUAAAGUAGGGAAGUCCGUGAUGUCACGCUGCCGAGAAAAGCUUCUAGUUAGUGUUUACCUGCCCGUACCGCAAACCGACACAGGUAGUCGAGGAGAGCAUCCUAAGGUGAGCGAGUGAACUCUCGUUAAGGAACUCGGCAAAAUGACCCCGUAACUUCGGGAGAAGGGGUGCUCAGCGAAAGCUGAGCCGCAGUGAAUAGGCCCAGGCGACUGUUUAUCAAAAACACAGGUUUCUGCAAAAUCGUAAGAUGACGUAUAGGGGCUGACGCCUGCCCGGUGCUGGAAGGUUAAAAGGAGUGCUUAGUUUCGGCGAAGGUACGAAUUGAAGCCCCAGUAAACGGCGGCCGUAACUAUAACGGUCCUAAGGUAGCGAAAUUCCUUGUCGGGUAAGUUCCGACCCGCACGAAAGGCGUAACGAUCUGGGCACUGUCUCAACGAGAGACUCGGUGAAAUUUAAAUACCCGUGAAGAUGCGGGUUACCCGCGACAGGACGGAAAGACCCCAUGGAGCUUUACUGUAGCUUGAUAUUGAGUGUUUGUGCAGCUUGUACAGCAUAGGUAGGAGCCGUUGAUACCGGGACGCUAGUUUCGGUGGAGGCAUCAUUGGGAUACUACCCUCGUUGUAUGACCACUCUAACUCGCACCACUAAGCGUGGUGGAAGACAGUGUCUGGCAGGCAGUUUGACUGGGGCGGUCGCCUCCUAAAAGGUAACGGAGGCGCCCAAAGGUUCCCUCAGAAUGGUUGGAAAUCAUUCGCAGAGUGUAAAGGCACAAGGG